AUGAACGCUAGCUACAGGCUUAACACAUGCAAGUCGAGGGGCAGCAUGACUUAGCAAUAGGUUGAUGGCGACCGGCGCACGGGUGAGUAACACGUAUCCAACCUGCCGAUUAUUCCGGGAUAGCCUUUCGAAAGAAAGAUUAAUACUGGAUAGCAUAACGAGAAGGCAUCUUCUUGUUAUUAAAGAAUUUCGAUAAUCGAUGGGGAUGCGUUCCAUUAGUUUGUUGGCGGGGUAACGGCCCACCAAGACAUCGAUGGAUAGGGGUUCUGAGAGGAAGGUCCCCCACAUUGGAACUGAGACACGGUCCAAACUCCUACGGGAGGCAGCAGUGAGGAAUAUUGGUCAAUGGACGAGAGUCUGAACCAGCCAAGUAGCGUGAAGGAUGACUGCCCUAUGGGUUGUAAACUUCUUUUGUAUGGGAAUAAAGUGAGCCACGUGUGGCUUUUUGUAUGUACCAUACGAAUAAGGAUCGGCUAACUCCGUGCCAGCAGCCGCGGUAAUACGGAGGAUCCGAGCGUUAUCCGGAUUUAUUGGGUUUAAAGGGAGCGUAGGCGGAUUAUUAAGUCAGUUGUGAAAGUUUGCGGCUCAACCGUAAAAUUGCAGUUGAUACUGGUAGUCUUGAGUGCAGCAGAGGUAGGCGGAAUUCGUGGUGUAGCGGUGAAAUGCUUAGAUAUCACGAAGAACUCCGAUUGCGAAGGCAGCUUACUGGACUGUAACUGACGCUGAUGCUCGAAAGUGUGGGUAUCAAACAGGAUUAGAUACCCUGGUAGUCCACACAGUAAACGAUGAAUACUCGCUGUUUGCGAUAUACAGCAAGCGGCCAAGCGAAAGCAUUAAGUAUUCCACCUGGGGAGUACGCCGGCAACGGUGAAACUCAAAGGAAUUGACGGGGGCCCGCACAAGCGGUGGAGUAUGUGGUUUAAUUCGACGCAACGCGAAGAACCUUACCAGGGCUUGACAUAUAGAGGAAUAACUAAGAGAUUAGUUAGCUCUUCGGAGUCUCUAUACAGGUGGUGCAUGGUUGUCGUCAGCUCGUGCCGUGAGGUGUCGGCUUAAGUGCCAUAACGAGCGCAACCCUUAUCUUUAGUUACUAACAGGUCAUGCUGAGGACUCUAGAGAGACUGCCGUCGUAAGAUGUGAGGAAGGUGGGGAUGACGUCAAAUCAGCACGGCCCUUACGUCCGGGGCUACACACGUGUUACAAUGGGGGGUACAGAAGGCAGCUACACAGCGAUGUGAUGCUAAUCCCAAAAGCCUCUCUCAGUUCGGAUUGGAGUCUGCAACCCGACUCCAUGAAGCUGGAUUCGCUAGUAAUCGCGCAUCAGCCACGGCGCGGUGAAUACGUUCCCGGGCCUUGUACACACCGCCCGUCACACCAUGGGAGCCGGUAAUACCCGAAGUCAGUAGUCUAACCGCAAGGAGGACGCUGCCGAAGGUAGGAUUGGCGACUGGGGUG
rnacentral:rRNA from 1 species